AGUGGCCGUGCCAGCAACUUGAGGGUUGCAGGUUCGAUUCCCGCUUGUGCCAUCCUAGUCACUGCCGUUGUGUCCUUGGGCAAGACACUUUACCCACCUGCUCCCAGUGCCACCCACACUGGUUUAAAUGUAACUUAGAUAUUGAGUGUCACUAUGUAAAGCGCUUUGAGUCACUUGAGAAAAGCGCUAUAUAAAUAUAAUUCACUUCACUUCACUACUAUGGAACAGAGUGGUCAAGCAAACACGGUUGGAUUAGACCACACACACAAAGUACAGUGUAUUAUGCAGCGGUCAUUUCGAAAGAUUGUUUCAAAGAGGGUCCCCUGCGAAGGGCAGAGAUGGGCAUCGCCACCACCCGUCGACUGGUGCUGAAAAAAGAAGCGGGGCCGAGCUUCAGGUUGUACAGGUACGACUAUAUAAUCUCACUAAAACACUAGUAACACAAUAAGCAGAUAAGGGAUUUUCCAGAUAUAUCCUAGUAAAUGUGUCUAAUAACAUCUGAAUCGCUCCUACUACCCUCGUCUUUUUUUUUUCUAGUCAUUCACUCUCACUUUCCUCAUCCACAAAUCUUUAAUUUUCGCUCAAAUUAAUUGGGAAAUUGUCGCUUUCUCGGUCCGAAUCGCUGUAGCUGCUGGUGGCCAUGAUUGUAAACAAUGUUCAGAUGUGAGGAGCUCCACAACCCGUGACGUCACGCGCACAUCGUCUGCUACUUCCGGUACAGGCAUGGCUUUUUAUUAGCGACCAAAAGUUGCGAACUUUAUCGAGGAUGUUCUCUACUAAAUCCUUUCAGCAAAAAUAUGGCAAUAUCGGGAAAUGAUGAAGUAUGACACAUAGAAUGGACCUGCUAUCCCCGUUUGAAUAGGAAAAUCUCAUUUCAGUAGGCCUUUAAUCCAUAUCAUAAUUUGGACGAGAGUGAAGAAAAAUCCACACCUGUAUUUUAGCCGCAGGGGUCAAAGCGUGGGGAAACCGUAGCGGCUUAUAGUCCGGUAAGCUGCAGCAUAAUGCUAACAAACAUGUCCGCCAUGGCAGCAACAUGAGAGGAGAUGACCACUGCAGGCACUGACUUCUCUUCUCUUGAUGCACAUUUCUAGAAGUCCUACGACUAAAGACUUUUUAUGGUCCUCGCUAACAAAGAGAUGUUCUAGAAGGACUCGGGCGCUUCCUGCCGACAAAAAGAAAAGGGACGACUCCAGCAGGUUUAACAGUUUGUUGGGAGGAAAGAUCCAGCAUUUCCUGAUUGUAAAUAGCUUUUUAUUUUUAUUGGAAAUGUCUGUUGUUUUUUUAUUGUAGGUUUUUUUUCUGUAUUUUCUAGAAAUGUACUGUUUUAUAGUACCUUUUAAUGUAGGAAAUAAAGAAAUCCAUGAAAUAA